rnacentral:rRNA from 1 species
CCUACGGGUGGCAGCAGUGAGGAAUAUUGGUCAAUGGGCGCGAGCCUGAACCAGCCAAGUAGCGUGAAGGAUGACUGCCCUACGGGUUGUAAACUUCUUUUAUAAAGGAAUAAAGUGAGGCACGUGUGCCUUUUUGUAUGUAUUUUAUGAAUAAGGCUCGGCUAACUCCGUGCCAGCAGCCGCGGUAUUACGGAGGAUCCGGGCGUUAUCCGGAUUUAUUGGGUUUAAAGGGAGCGUAGAGGGGUUGUUCAGUCAGUUGUGAAAGUUUGCGGCUCAACCGUAAAAUUGCAAUUGAUACUGGCAGCCUUGAGUGCAGUUGAGGUAGGCGGAAUUCGUGGUGUAGCGGUGAAAUGCUUAGAUAUCACGAAGAACUCCGAUUGCGAAGGCAGCCUACGAAACUGCCACUGACAUUGAGGCUCGAAAGUGUGGGUAUCAAACAGGAUUAGAUACCCCAGUAGUC